UACGUAGGGUGCAAGCGUUGUCCGGAAUUAUUGGGCGUAAAGAGCGUGUAGGCGGCUAGAUAGGUCCGUUGUGAAAACUCGAGGCUCAACCUCGAGACGUCGAUGGAAACCAUCUGGCUAGAGUCCGGAAGAGGAGAGUGGAAUUCCUGGUGUAGCGGUGAAAUGCGCAGAUAUCAGGAAGAACACCCGUGGCGAAGGCGGCUCUCUGGGACGGUACUGACGCUGAGACGCGAAAGCGUGGGGAGCGAACAGG
rnacentral:rRNA from 1 species